UCCAAAUUCACGUAUUCUUAAAGAGGUUUUUAGAUAUUUCCCUGUUUCCAUUUUUGGGUUUGAUGUUCAAAAUUUUAUUUUUAUUUUUAAUUUUUUCGUGGCAAUUUUCCAAUAAAUAGUCACCACCCCAUGAGGGAGGUUGGGGGUACACUACGGCGAUGGGUUUCUGUUUUUAAGGCUCCAUUUUGGAGGCGUAGAAUACAAAAGUUUUGGGUUCUUCAGUUUGAUUUGGGUCUGGGUUCAACAAGUAUGGUGAAGGUAAAUGAAAGGCUUUCAUGUAAGGAAUGGUUAUAUCAUGUGAAAAGGAUAUGGGUUUCAUGAUCUUCCCUGCUAUCUCUUUUUAUAUACCCUUCGUCUCCACCGUGUCUUACCACCACCACAGAGACACCCACGACACACCACUUCCCAUUCUCCAUAUACGGAUGUCGACACUUGAUUUUCCGUUAGGGAGGCGGGAGGAGUAGCGAUUGAACUCCUCCCAAACCUUCGAUGUCUGUUCAUCGCCUUCAAUGAAGUCGCCACCACCAAGAAGUGAAAUCGAAGUCGAGUGCAAAUAUCUUUCUCUUCUUUAUUUUCUUUCUGUUUCUGGUCAAUGUAUUUGCAGUUUUUUUUCCUUUGGUAUGAAGAAGAUAUACUCUAGGUAUUCGACAAUUUCUUUUUAUAAUUUUGGAAUUUGGCAACGUAUUAUUUUCCUGUAAUGGAUUCCACUGAUUGGAGUGAUUUUGGAAGCUAUGGCUAGCCUUCUGUCUUCUUCUUUUGUUCUUUGUUAUGAGGACACUUGCAGUCCAUUAAAGGUAUGAUAUUGUUUACUACCUAUUGAAUCAUUUGGAGAAUAUUGUUGGUUCUAUUCAAAUAAUUUCUUAUUAGCUUGAACUGUAGGUGUUUGAUGCAGGCAAUACCCCGACAUGAAUUCAGAGAAACAACUUUUUACACUAAAAUUGUACAUUUUCAUUUCCAAUUUGCCAUACACUUUCUCAAACCGACAGUCAAUCUUUUCGGUUAACUUAUGUAUGCAGUUUUGUGUUUUUUUUUGUUGUUGUUUAGAGUAAAUUAUAGGAAAUGAACUGUUAAUUUGACCUAAAAUUUCAUCUGGAGGAGUCAUUCAAUGAUGUUGGAAAAAUUAGGAGGUAAACCUUAACUGAAGUAUGCCCACCAACAGUUUGUUAAAAUGCCAAAUAGACAUUUUAGACCUGUUACAUUAAUAUUUCUUUACUCUAAGUUUUUCGUGUAUAUUAACUGAUUAAAGGUGUUAUUUUUGUCAGUUUUUUGAACUGAUAAGUAUGAAGUUCAAACCUGGAAAUCUUUUAAGACAAGACCACCAACACGAAGAUCACACAUAUUUUAUGAAAGUGACUUCCAACUAACAAUGACAACAGGAGAAGUAGCUCUAAUUGUUGGUGUUAGGUAACCUAAAUCCUCCUUCAAAAUUAUAAUUUAUAAAAAAAUCUAAUUACUUAUAUUUAUUAUUUGGGCGAAUAUGUAAUUCUGAAUUAUUUUUAACAUGAUCUGUGUAUACAAUUUUGAACUUAAUUUGUAAGCAUUAGUUGAACAUUUUCUGUCAGAUUAUAUAUCAUGUUCAGCUGCUUUACAGGGGAAGAGUAGAAAGUGCGGGCCAAAAGUCGUCUUAUUUGGGGAAAGAUGAUGACAUCACCAAGGAGAAAAAACAAUGGAGGAUGUUGUCAAGCUAUUGUAGCCAUCAGGUGUCCAUUGGUGGUACAUCAGGUUGCUUAGCUGCUGCCUUUUAAAACCAAUCAAACUGAGAUGAAUAUUUGUGAAAUCGAGUUCUUUUUUAAAUAUAUUUUAAAAAAUGUGUGAUUAAUGGUCAGCAUUUUGGUUUCUUUCUUUCAUAACCUAAUAUAAUGAAUUCUUUUGAGUAUCCUACUCUAACCCCUCAAGACUUGAUUAAUAUAAUGAAAUGCAUAUGUAACCUGUCUAUUUCUAAAGAGAACUUAUUCCACAUGCACAACACAAAUAGUUCACAAACACAUUCUGUCAAGGAAUACCCAUCUAGUAUAUGUUUAUACAUGUAAACAAAAACACAAAUUAUAAAUUUGAAUCCAUACGAUUAAACCCAAAAAAUAAAUUUGCAAAAUCCAAACACAAUAAAAAACUUGUCGUACACCAAAUUACCAGGUUUAGAGGAUAAAAUAAUAAAUGGGAGUACAUACGAAAAAAAAAAAAAAAAAAAAAAAUUAAUUUGAUUGGUAUUAGUGGGUGAACUAGGAUGGACCAUGUAGCGCCUUCUAAAACCCUAGUUUCCAAAAUCAGAUUCUAUCGGUCACAAACUCAACCCUAUAAAUCAGCACCGGUAUCGUCCCUUCGUCAAUUAGUUCUUCCUUCAUCUCUAAUUAAACACUCUGCUUUCAAAUACUCCUUUGAUUGCUUAACUAUGUUUCAUUUACGUUUAGUAUUACAUAGUUUGUAUGUAUAAUCUGUGUUUUGUGCGUUGAUGAAACAAUUUGUGGACUAGAGUUUCUGAUCUUGGGCUCUUCUUCCCAUUCAGUUUGACGACAAACCCUUGGCUGUCUGAGCACACAAAAAAAAUCCAAUAAUUUUUUAUCAAAUUUGAUCGAGCUUAUGAUGAUACUUUUAAUUAUCUUAGCGGAUUUCAGUGAGAUUGAAUCAAUGAUCUGAUUGUUACACACACUGAGGCUCAUUAUUGUAAUUGAAAACCCUUAUGUUUUUUUCUCUCUUUA